UGCAGAGGCAUUUCCAGUCAGAUAUGACAGCUGACUCAGUAUUGCUGCCAGUCUUAAGGGAAGGCACUGUAGGACAGUGUUGUGUCCCAUUCUGAGCCUGGUAACUGCAGGUUUCUCCUGACUGGUGGACUCCAGUAAGCACAAGCCUGCCUGUUUUCUUGGGGUAAAGCAGAAUGUAUCAUGACAUGAACUCUUUUAACUCACAGUCAGCAAUACUGAUAUUAUCACUCCAUUUAGGAUAUUUUAUUUUAUCUCAGAGACGGGUUUUGAGUUUAGAUGAGUACAAAUAAGUACUCAGAACAGUAAAUGUCUUUUGUUAUUCAAAUUUAAUUUUUAACUCAUUGAACCAACACUUAAGGAAUUCUCUGGGAAGAGAUUUCUGGUGUUAGAUUAUAAAAUGCAUUGCCAUAUAGUUUAGAGUUGAAAUAAAAGCUGUUUUCCAAUUAAAAAUGCUGCAAAUUCUGCCAUUUUAAAAAGUGGCUGAAAUAGUGACUGAAGUAGUAGGCUUAUCAGCUGUACACGCAGUUUUACAGUUAUGUCUCCUUAACAUUGUACUAAGAGAAAACUUUUUCUUUUGGAAAGUUAUAAGAUCUGAGUUUAUCUCCACGUAUUACUACCAUCGUGUUCCAGAGAAAGCCAUCAGGAGGCCCCUGCCCUCUGUUGGCACACACAGCUUCCCUAGAGCAGUCUCAUUUGCACACUCUGGCAAGGGCCAUACCUAAGGGAAAGUGUUUCCACAAGGGCUUCCCUUUCUUUCUCCUUUGGCAGCUUGUGGACGUUUUAUUUUAUUUAAAAUACAAUUUGAAUAAAAUGUUAGGCACUAAACGAGCUUCUAUAUAACACUUUAUAUUUUAGGCAAAGGCCUUUCUGUUGCUUUUCAAGUGUAAACCUACUGCUGUCUAUGAUAUUCCUGAUAUUGGGCAUAAAUCUAUAGAAUGAGAAAAUAGUAUGUAAUGAAUGAACUUUAAUUAAAAAUCAGUAUAAACUUAAAACAUCCCUAUGCUAGCAUGGCAUGGUUUUAAUGACGUGUAAGGGAUGUAGGUCGGUCCUUCUUGCUGUCUGACUUAGUCCCAGCCAUCGCCCUAGGUGUUCAUAGCACCUUUGCUUUUGUGCUUCCUGGGAUACAUCAGUGUUUCGUGGACCUUUCUCUGACAGUGGUGCAAGAACGUCAUGGAAGGAUACAUGAACCCACUGAGGAAGGAAGGGACUUUUUAAAUUUUGCCUCAAGUAAACUAAGUGUGUACAGUGUUUCUCCUUAUACAUGAUGCUGUGUUAGUGUUUGGGUAGUAUUACAGCAAGAAGAUGGAGAGGAAGCGGUGAGGCUUGGAGACGGCAGGCCAGCCUGUGACACGCCGGGCAGCUAUUUGGCUUUGUCAUUUCAAUGGACGGUGUGACUGAUACCUGUACUAUUAAAUAGGCUGAUUUGGUUUUUUUUUUGGCCUAAAUCAUUAUUGAAGAAAUAUCCUCCCCCAGCUUUAAAGUUACAGUCCUGAGCUACAUAAUUGGGAUUACCACUGGGCUGACUGAAUGAAUGCCCUGCCACCCGGGAACUGGGGUUUAUGACGUCCGAGGGCUCAGUCACAUCACCACUCUCGUCCUUCCCAUCAGUGGACCAUCUCCUUGACUGUUGACAACAGUCAGACUACCUGCCGUGACCGACUGCCGUGAGACUGUUGUGACAGCCAUUGUCAGGACCGGUCCUGUACAUGGUGUAUGGGUGGCAGGAUACAAGAAGUCGAUGUGGAAUCAUUGUGCAUUUUUAUUUGUAAAAGUUUAUAUCCAGUAUUGACAGUGGAACAGUUUGGAACAGUAUUGAUAUUUGGAACAGUUUUCCAAAACAGAAUCAUCUGAAAUGAGGCAGAGACCGAGACACUACUGCGGCCUUCCCCACAGUGCUGAGUGUACUAUAGUGCAUUAGAGACGGCCACUUCUCAGACAGGGAAGACCCAGAAAGGGACUGCACUGCACCGGGAAUGAGGAACUGGUGACAGAAAGUAGUUCCUAGCUGGGUGGUGGCUCAUGCCUUUAAUCCCAGCCUUGGGAGGCAAAGGCAGGCGGAUCUUUGUGAGAUCGAGGCUAGUCUGGUCUACAGAGCAAGUUCUAGGACAGCCAGGGCUACAUAGAGAAACUCUGUCUCAAAAGCCACCACCACUACCAACAAAAAGCAGACCCCGCUGCACUGACACGUAUUUAAGGAGUGAAGAUGGAGUUAGAGUCAGUUUGAUGGGGUGAAUCCCAUAUCCGCCUGGGAUUCUGGGAGUCAGGCCGCAAGUCUUGCUUUAAAUGCUAACAUCUGUUGUUACUCACAUUCUCUAUAAAGAUAUAAAAUUAUAUUUUAAAGACUUUUAUGUAUCAGAGCUAUAGGUUUUUAAAGUGGAGAAAUGCCCAAAUAAAUUGUUAAAUUACAAUAUAUAAUAGGUGCUUUCAAAUUAAGGUUUUUUAAAGUUAUAAUAAUCUAAAUAGCCCACUAAUCUGAUCUUUGUAAAUUGUCCCACGAUUCUGGUUACUCUUAAGGUGUUUUUUGAGUUUUUGAAAGUUUACCUAGGUUGUACAAUAUCUUCCUGUGCUGUUUAGAUCUCUGUUGCAUACAUGCUGUUCUCGUGUCUGUGCUCUUAGAGCUUUAGAGGUCAGCUGAAAAUACGGAGUGCAGCUCUUGUGUAUGAUCCCACACUGAUCGAGUAGACUGCCAGUCACCUCAUUCAGAACAUAGGUCUGGGUUUGUACAGUAGGGGACUAAAAAUCAAAGUUCAGAAACUCACGAAGUGUGGGGAUUGUGCUAGAAAUGAGACUGUGCGUUGCAGACAGCCAUGCACGGGGAGGCUCUGACUUCAAGCCUCUUGGACUGGCUUAGAAUGCUUUGCCUUCUCACCACUUAAAAUUUGUUUCACAAAGGCAGGUUGCUGGGACUAAUUAUUUUUUAAUGUUUUAAACCCAUUUUAAAAAGUCUUCCUUUUGGUUUUGACCAUUGUUCUAAAAUCAAAGUUUUACAAUAAAAAAAAAAAAAUCCCAAAAGACGAUUCAUCAAGGAAAAGAGCAUAACCAAGGGGGAAAGAAACCAUGUUUUAAUCUUAAAGAAAGCCAAUAUGAAGGUGGUAAUAGAUGUGUCUUACAGUGGACGCUGUAUUAAGAGUCUUCCUCACAGGAAACAACAGUUCUAGCGCCCGUGGCAUAGAUUCCUAGAUGGCGCCCAAGCUACAGUUACACAGUGUAUGACCUAAAAUGAAGUUAAUUUUGCAUUAUAAGAGCACACCAUUAUCUAUGUAAAAAGUGUUCAUUUGAUGUAUUUUUUUAAGAAGAGAUAAAGCACUUUCAUAUUAAGUAGCAUGUGUGUGAAUUUUAGACUUCCUAUGUGUGUCUAGUCAGUGGAAUUAAAGGAGCGUCAGAUGUUUGCUGGCGAUGUUAACUGCUAAUGGAAGCACUUUCUCUGCUGCUUAGCCUCGCUUGGAUUGCACCUUUGUUACUGCACACGUUCACAGACAGUAUUGUAACAUGGCUUCGAGUGGGUCUGGGCGGACGACUAGUGUUGGGCCUACAGGAUCUUCUAUUUAUGUCGUUUAUAUUACAAUAAUAUAUUGUAGACCAGUUGUAACUUCAGUUCUUUACAAAUAAAAGCCUGACUGGUUA
ensembl:lncRNA